rnacentral:tRNA from 1 species
GUAGUAAUCCAUUGGUCUUAGGAACCAAAAAAUUGGUGCAACUCCAAAUAAAAGUA